GGGACCGUAGGGUAGCCUGGACCAUCCUUCGGCGUUCGGGACACGCCGGAACCUGAGUUCAAAUCUCAGCGGUCCCA
rnacentral:tRNA from 1 species